CACUUCUUGGAUCUAGUGUUCUCUGCGGGAUCUAAAUGGCUUGAAAGGUGAAAUAAGGAGGUCCCUGUUUUCCUGUGCUCUGACUAUAUUCGGAACCACUGUGAGUAGGAAGGUAUUCUCUCUCAGGGUGAGACUGAUCGCUCCUGCUGCAGAUUGGGACUUUAUUUUUUUUUUCCCCCAAAUGCAGAUAACUUUACUGCAAAAUUUAUAGUAAUUGGAGAACGUGUUCUACUGUGGCUUAAAAAAACCCAACCACAACCACUCGUACGCACAGAAAAGAAGACCGUCAACCCGAAGCACCUGAAAACCAGAAAGCAUAUGGAGGAGCUGUGAACGCGGUGAUUCUGAUUGAUUGCAGAGGCACUUGGUGGUAACAGAAGAGUGGAUCACCUGCAGUCUGCUCAGCUUGCUUCUGGAUUUAGCCAAAAGUCUGUUCCCUGGGAUGGGAACAGUACCAACAUUGUCAACUGCCACUUCUUAAUUUUUUUUUUCCUCUGGUUUCAUCUUAAGCAGGUAAAGAUGGCUACAGGAGUGCAUCUGCUGAGAACGUUCAGUGUGACGCGUCUGCUUAUAAUUUGGAAGGAAUACUUCAAACUGUUUGUGCAUGUUGCCAGGUUAUAGCUUCUUAACCAUUUGCAGAAAAAAACUUGUAUCUUCCUACACGUGGAAAAAACCCGAUAGCAUUCAAUGUAGUGUUCCCUUCAACCAGUCUGGACUUAAGAGUAUUUUUUAGGAAUUAUUUUAUGUUCUUCUAUAUAAUAAGAAAUUAACAUCCAUGGAGAUGUUAGGAUCCACCCCUUCCCAGACCUCAUUUAAGGGUUGGCAGUGAAGGCAACGGUAUCUUGCUGGAGAUCCCUGCAUACCUGAGGCCUUCUGGAGGGUUUGCUGCAGUCUAGGACUUUGCUUCUUUGCUAUCAUUGCUGUGCUUUCCAUUGUGUUGCUACGGU
rnacentral:lncRNA from 1 species